rnacentral:tRNA from 1 species
GGGAGCGCAUAGGGUUCUGGUGUCCCUCCUGGACUUCAAAUCCAGUGUUGCCUGCCAAAAGCGGGCAGGGUGGGUUCGAUUCCCACACGCUCCCGCCA